rnacentral:rRNA from 1 species
UACGAAGGGGGCUAGCGUUGUUCGGAAUCACUGGGCGUAAAGGGCGCGUAGGCGGCUUUAUAAGUCGGGGGUGAAAGCCUGUGGCUCAACCACAGAAUUGCCUUCGAUACUGUAGAGCUUGAGACCGGAAGAGGUAAGUGGAACUGCGAGUGUAGAGGUGAAAUUCGUAGAUAUUCGCAAGAACACCAGUGGCGAAGGCGACUUACUGGUCCGGUUCUGACGCUGAUGCACGAAAGCGUGGGGAGCAAACAGG